GGAGAGAUGGCUCAGCAGUUAAGAGCACUGGCUGCUCUUCCAGAGGACCUGGGUUCAAUUCCCAGUACCCCCA
rnacentral:tRNA from 1 species